rnacentral:rRNA from 1 species
GACGAACGCUGGCGGCGUGCCUAAUACAUGCAAGUCGAGCGAAGCGGCGGAUGGGUGAGUAACGCGUGGGUAACCUGCCCUUAAGUCUGGGAUACCAUUUGGAAACAGAAGCUAAUACCGGAUACUAAUGGUAGGCCCUGCGAUGCAUUAGCUAGGUGGUAAGGUAACGGCUUACCGAGGCGAUGAUGCCUAGCCGAGGUGAGAGGCUGAUCGGCAAAAUAGGGACUGAGACACGGCCCAAACUCCUACGGGAGGCAGCAGUAGGGAAUCUUCCACAAUGGACGAAAGUCUGAUGGAGCAACGCCGCGUGAGUGAGGAAGGUUUUCGGAUCGUAAAGCUCUGUGGUUUGUGAAGCGGUAAUCAACCAGAUAGUCACGGCUAACUACGUGCCAGCCGCCGCGGUAAUUC